UGCCUGGCGGCAGUAGCGCGGUGGUCCCACCUGACCCCAUGCCGAACUCAGAAGUGAAACGCCGUAGCGCCGAUGGUAGUGUGGGGUCUCCCCAUGCGAGAGUAGGGAACUGCCAGGCUU
rnacentral:rRNA from 2 species